GUAGCUCAAUAGUAGAGCGGUCGACUGUUAACCGAUUGGUCGUAGGUUCGAAUCCAUAGCAGUUACA